GAAAUCCUGGAGUGAAGAAUCAUUCUGAAACUAGACCAAAUACAGGACAACACCACAGCAGUGGUUGGAAAAAUGCAGCAGACAAUGAGCAAGCCAAGCUGACUUUUAAAAGAUGAUUCGUUAUCUGUUCCUUCAAAGGGGAGGCAGUUUGGGAGAUGGGAAAUAGGAGGAUGCUACAGUUACACAGGGUGAAUUUCAGCAGCUCAGUUUCACACUUGCAACUAACAAUGAAUUAUAGUUGGAAGACAAACGGAAAUAUUUGACAUCGGAGUCCAGCAGACAGCCAGAGACACGCGCACACACACGGAGCUGAAGUACGGGAGAUCAGGCACGCGCACGGGAGCUCGCGCGCGCACGCACGCACACACAAACACGGAGCACAGGAAAAUGACAACUGUUCAAUUAAAAUAAAAGAACUUUGUGGUAAACAAUGUUUAGCGUGUCUGAUUUCAUUGGUUGUAAUUAAAUAAAACGAAGUGCUGAGGACUUUAGGCGAACGUCCCCUAAAAGUCCCGAAAGUCCGCUGACCGUCCUGCAAACGUCCUUGUGAAAGUCCGGAGGACGUCCUCGCGAACGUCCGCUCGACGUAACAGGGGACCCUACACAAUAACGUCCAUAGGACGUUCGCAGAGGACAUUUAGGGGACGUCCAGGGGACCUUUUUUUGUUA